rnacentral:lncRNA from 10 species
UCCGAUAGGUUUUGAAGUUUCAAAAGACAAUAGUAACCACACAGCAUGGAGAAAAGUGCUGGGAAAGGCACCAGAGAGUGCAGAGUCCAGCUCAGGAUACACCGGAAUCUACCAUAUGUAAAUUUUGCUGCUGCUGUCUCUUUGGAUUUGGGCCAUUUUUAAGAGGUGUAACACUCACUGUGAAGUUCUGUAGCUCCAUUCUUCAAGUUAGCGAGACCACGAACCUGCCGGAAGGAACCAACUCCGGACAUAGCAGAUCAAGAAGGCAGUCAGAAGUGGGUAAGGACGUGGCCAUCAAAGAGUACUGAGUGUUAACAAUAAGACCAAAAGUAAAGGAACAGUGUAGUUCUACGGUUUUUGCCUAAAAAUCUGUAUAU